UGAGUCAGAUGCAAGCAUGGAGGUGUGAGUCAGAUGCAAGCGUGGAGGUGUGUGUCAGAUGCAAGCAUGGAGGUGUGUGUGUCAGAUGCAAGCAUGGAGGUGUGUGUCAGAUGCAAGCAUGGAGGUGUGUGUCAGAUGCAAGCGUGGAGGUGUGUGAGUUGAAUGCAAGCAUGGAGGUGUGAGUCAGAUGCAAGCGUGGAGGUGUGUGUGUCAGAUGCAAGCAUGGAGGU
rnacentral:sRNA from 1 species